UUCCCUGUAGCUCAGUUGGUAGAGCAUGGUGUUUGCAACGCCAGGGUUGUGGGUUCGAUUCCAGCAAAAAAAA
rnacentral:tRNA from 1 species